AAGGUAAAGAAAGAAGCACGGCCCGAGCAGCAGCAGUUUGAGGCUUCUUGUGGAUUUUACAUAAAGGGACUCAUGUAUGAAGUCUAAAGCAGAUGAAAACUGGAGAAGCUAUUUAUAAGGCCAAAUCAAGUCAGUUCUUCCAAUUUUUAAGCUGCACUGAAAAAGGAAAUCUGGAAUCUGACUGGCUGCUAUAGUACAUCACAAGGCGCCCAGAAGAGGAAAAUGUCAUAUUGUGCUCAAUACUGGAAAUUCUGUUUUACCACCUCCUGCUCUAAAUCUCAUUCCAGCCGUAUGAUAAUUGCAAGGAUUCACUUGAGUAGUCCUCUUGGAUGCUGCAGGAAUGUGGUCCUAUAGCAGUUUCAGGUAGUUUAAAA